CUGCGUCUUCCAUCCUCCCCAUGGGGCCCCCUGUCACAGGUGCAGGAGGAAAUACUCCCCAAAGCCUGGGGUGGGCUCGUCCUCACGCUGGAACCCUCCUUUCCAGCGAGGCUCCGCUUUCCACGCGUGGGAGGGCCGGCGGUCAUCGCUCCGCACGGAGAAGUUCAAGAACACAGAGCCAUCUCACAGGGCGAUACUGGUGUACAGAGGAGCAGGAGGGACGGAGGGGUCCAGCACAUUCCUGGGAGUGAAAACCCAGCGCCAGUGACCCUGUGGAAGGAAGCCUCCAACCCACCUCCCUGGGCGCCGUCAAGCUGCUUUCACGCCUUCGGUUUCACCCUCACCGUGCUGCUGGGAGUUACAGGAGGAAGGCGGCAGAGCCCACGUGACUCAGCUGAGAUGAACAUCUUUCUGAAUCCACACGGGACGUGCCUUCAUCUCUCAAGUGCUGGAUGGAGGCAGCACAUUUCCUGCACGUUCUGUAAUUAUGAGUCUUUUUUUUUUUUCUUUUUCCUUUUAGGGCCGCACCCGAGGCAUAUGAAAGUUCCCAGGCAAACGGGUGAAUCAGAGCUGCAGCUGGCAGCCUACAGCACAGCCACAGCCACACGGGAUCUGACUUACCCCACAGCUCAUGGCAACGCCCGAUCCUUAACCCACUGAGUGAGGCCAGGGAUCGAACCUACAUCCUCAUGGAUACUAGUUGGGUUUGUUACCACUGAGCCUCGAUGGGAACCGCCUACAAUUAGGAGCCCCUGGUGCUGUGAGGUCCCCCUCCCCAGCUUACCUGAGCAGAGCUCUCCUCUCUGGCUGCACUGCUAUCUAAUGGAUUAAAAAAAAAAUUCUUUUUUGUAAGUUUUGUUGAAAAACCAUACUUUUAUUAUAUUGAAGUAUGGUUGAUUGACAAGGUUGCAAGCAUUUCUGCUGUACAGCAAAGUGACUCAGUGAUGCGCAGACACAUGUCCCUUGCCUCUCAGAUUCUUUUCCCACCCAGAUGACCCCGGAACACUGGCUGGAGUUCCCUGUGCCCUACAGCAGGUCCCCGAUGGCCAAGUUUCUAACAGACUUGAUCAAGGCGUCCCCACCAGAACCAAGGGACACGCGGGUGUGUCUGGGUUCAAGCCGUUUAUUUUUUAUUGUUUUUAUUUUUAUUGACGUAUAGUUGAUUCACAAUAUUGUGUUAGUUUCAGGUGUACAGCAAAGUGCUUCAGUUAUACGUGUGUAUAUUCUUUCCCAGAUUCUUUUCCCUUAUAGGUUGUUAUAAAAUAUUGAGUAUAAUUCCCUGUGCUGUACAGUAGGACCUUGUUGGUUAUUCCAACUGUUAUUUUUUGAAUGACUUACUGCAAACUCUUUUGCAGUGGUUGUUGUUUAAAAUGUAGCUUUUUUUUUUUUUUGUCUUUUUGCCUUUUCUAGGGCCGCUUCCGUGGCAUAUGGAGGUUCCCAGGCUAGGGGUCGAAUCGGAGCUGCAGCUGCCAGCCUACACCAGAGCCACAGCAACGGAGGAUCUGAGCCGCGUCUGCAACCUACACCACAGCUCGCGGCAACACUGGAUCCUUUACCCACUGAGCGAGGCCAGGGAUUAAACCCGAGACCUCAUCGUUCCUAGUUGGGUUUGUUUCACUGUGCCAUGACGGGAAGUCCUAUUUUAACAGUUCUUGAAUGAGGGCUUUUCACUUGGGACUUUUGAAAAACUAAGACGUUUUGGAAGAGAAGUGGCUAUUUUGGCUGAACUACACCAGAUGUGGGAUUAUGUAAUAACAAAGAGUCCCCUGGGUGAGUCAUUCUGAUACCGCGGUGCGGGUUGGCCUUGUGGCCUGAUGGCACCUUCCACUUGUGCUGGGGAAACAUGAUGGUUGGGGGAGGGGCAGAGGUGCCCUGACCCCGGGGGUCUUGCUCUUUGGCACUGGGGUCUUCUUUCGGACUCCCCUGCUUGCUCAUGGCACUCAGUUGUUCAUCGCCUAAAUAAAGAACGUUUAGCUUCUGCCCCA
ensembl:lncRNA